GACGGAGGAUGCAAGUGUUAUCCGAAAUCACUGGGCGUAAAGCGUCUGUAGGUGGUCAAAUAAGUCAACUGUUAAAUCUUGAGGCUCAACCUCAAAAUCGCAGUCGAAACUAUUCGACUAGAGUAUAGUAGGGGUAAAGGGAAUUUCCAGUGGAGCGGUGAAAUGCGUAGAGAUUGGAAAGAACACCGAUGGCGAAGGACACUUUACUGGGCUAGUUACUAACACUGAGAGACGAAAGCUAGGGGAGACGAAUGGGACUUAGGAA
rnacentral:rRNA from 1 species